GAUAAUGGAACAUGAGAGGUGGUUAUUUACCCCCUGAUAAUUGCAAAUGGGUCUAUAAAAUCAAAUACAACUUGGAUAGGUCUGUUGAAUGUUCUAAGGCUCGGGUAGUGGGCAAAGGGUACAAGCAACAAGUUGGGGUAGAUUUUCAGGAGACAUUUUCCCCGGUUGCAAAGAAAGUUAUAGUUUGGACUGAUACGUGCUUGGAUUGGGUGAAAAUUAUUAAAUUUCAUUUACCAAAGCUGCCAAUUUUCAAGCUUGAGAAAUCAGCAAACUUGCAAACGACUUUUUAGAUAGGAUCUUAGCAUUUUUGGGUUGAGAUAUUUUCAUGGCGUUUGAAGAUCUAUC
rnacentral:lncRNA from 1 species